UCCCUUUCUUAUUAUUUGAGGAGCAUUUUUAUUAAUUAACCUCAUUCUCAUGUGUGAUUAACACAAUUGCCAUUACUUAGGUGUCAUCAUGAUAACUCUCCUCACACUAUUUUUUAAAAAAGCCUUCAUUGCCUAGAUAAAUUACAUGUAAUGCCAUUGGACAUUAUUUCAUAUAUUUUGCACAUUAAACUUUUAAUGAAAGUUUGUUACAUUACAACAAAUGGUGUUAUUAUGAUGUACAGACUAGGAAGUAUUGUUUUUAGAAACAAAUCAUAUGAAUAUGCAACUUCUAUGUCUAUAUGAAAGGCUAGAAAAUUGAUCCAUGUAUUUUAUAUUUAGUAUUUAACGUUUUAUAUUAUAAAUCUAAAAAUUAUAUUUACUUUGUAGCUACAUCUAUAUGAAUAUGUAGAGUCUGAUUGGUAAUGGCUGUACCUUUAAAAUUUUUGUUGUAGAA
rnacentral:lncRNA from 1 species